rnacentral:rRNA from 1 species
AUUGAACGCUGGCGGCAGGCCUAACACAUGCAAGUCGAGCGGAUGAAGGGAGCUUGCUCCUGGAUUCAGCGGCGGACGGGUGAGUAAUGCCUAGGAAUCUGCCUGGUAGUGGGGGAUAACGUCCGGAAACGGGCGCUAAUACCGCAUACGUCCUGAGGGAGAAAGUGGGGGAUCUUCGGACCUCACGCUAUCAGAUGAGCCUAGGUCGGAUUAGCUAGUUGGUGGGGUAAAGGCCUACCAAGGCGACGAUCCGUAACUGGUCUGAGAGGAUGAUCAGUCACAUUGGAACUGAGACACGGUCCAGACUCCUACGGGAGGCAGCAGUGGGGAAUAUUGGACAAUGGGCGAAAGCCUGAUCCAGCGGUGCCGAGUGUGUGAAGAAGGUCUUCGGAUUGGAAAGCACGUUAAGUUGGGAGGAAGGGCAGUAAGUUAAUACCUUGCUGUUUUGACGUUAACAACAGAAUAAGCACCGGCUAACUUCGUG